UCUGUCCUUAGGAAGCAUUUUGGAGGGAAAUGUGAGUCAGCCCUAUACACUGAGAAACUUUUUUACGUGUUGCUCUUUUCAUGUCCAAACAGAUUCUUUACUAAUUAAACAUAGAAUCUGGUGCAUCUUCUUCCUGUUUGCUAAAAAUGCCUACUUCUUUCCUUCUCACAUAGAAAUCCCAUCAGAUAUUAAGCAUUCUAGAGGUGAAGCCAGCUGGGCUUCUGGGUCGGGUGGGGACUUGGAGAACUUUUCUGUCUAGCUAAAGGUUUGUAAAUGCACCUGUCAG
rnacentral:lncRNA from 1 species